rnacentral:rRNA from 1 species
GAGGAAUAUUGGUCAAUGGGUGCAAGCCUGAACCAGCCAUCCCGCGUGAAGGAUUAAGGUCCUAUGGAUUGUAAACUUCUUUUGUAUAGGGAUAAACCUACCCUCGUGAGGGUAGCUGAAGGUACUAUACGAAUAAGCACCGGCCAACUCCGUGCCAGCAGCCGCGGUAAUACGGAGGGUGCAAGCGUUAUCCGGAUUUAUUGGGUUUAAAGGGUCCGUAGGCGGACUUAUAAGUCAGUGGUGAAAUCCUGUCGCUUAACGAUAGAACUGCCAUGGAUACUGUAAGUCUUGAGUAUAUUUGAGGUAGCUGGAAUAAGUAGUGUAGCGGUGAAAUGCAUAGAUAUUACUUAGAACACCAAUUGCGAAGGCAGGUUACCAAGAUAUAACUGACGCUGAGGGACGAAAGCGUGGGUAGCGAAC